AGGGAUCAUUACAGAGUUGCAAAACUCCAACAAACCAUCGCGAAUCUUACCCGUACGGUUGCCUCGGCGCUGGCGGUCCGGAAGGCCCUCGGGCCCCCCGGAUCCUCGGGUCUCCCGCUCGCGGGAGGCUGCCCGCCGGAGUGCCGAAACCAAACUCUUGAUAUUUUAUGUCUCUCUGAGUAAACUUUUAAAUAAGUCAAAACUUUCAACAACGGAUCUCUUGGUUCUG
rnacentral:misc_RNA from 1 species